CAGUGGUGCAGAAGAUGGUAAGUAGUAUCAUAUUUUUAAUUAAUAUUUUUGAGGCUUAUUAUAGUCAGGGAGGGUACUUUCAGGAUUAACUCAACCUCAUCACAUAAAAUUAAGAUGGAAAAUUAUUAUUUUUCAAAAUUUUAUUUUAAUCCAUAAGUAUAUACAAUGUACUUAUUUCAUUGCUGCCAUAUAUGGUCUACUCUCCUACACUACAUGAGGAGCAGUGGCCUUUUUGUGCAAAAAACCUCAACCCUGUCACAUAUAUGUAUAUUUUUCAUUGUUUCGGGGUUGUAAACUUGUGACAAGGUUGAGUUUUUCACUUAAUUUAUGAAUAAUUUUAAUUAAAAAAUAUAAAAUAGUCAUGGUUUCAGUAAAGAUAUACUUAUGAUAACUCAUAAUUUUGUUAUAGAGUAUUUGAUGUAAAGUAAAUGUUGACAAGCAUCCUAUAUCAGAAAUGACGCCCACAUCAGCAACAGAAAGACUGUGCUGUACAUGCAGAUAUAUUGACCCAAAAAGAAGGACACAAUAUGAGAGAGAGACAAAAUUAAAAAUAUAAAAUUGAAGGCAAUGUCUCCCUUCAAACCUGUUACAGUCUUCAACCCCAUUGCACUAUUCUCAACUUUUCUUUUGGGGGGGAAAGACGAUUAAAAAUGAAGGUAUUUUUUGCUAAUUACCACAUAAAAUUGUGGUUUCAGUUAAACGUCUCAACUGAAAACAUUUUUACAAAAAUAAAGAGACCACAGACACACAAUUUGUCUAUUUUUAACUUCAGUCCCUCAAAAAUGUGAAAAUUAUCAUACAUUUGUAGUAAAUAAAUUGUUAUGAGGAACACAUGAGCAGUAGGUAGAUGUUUGUUUGUUUUAAGUUUUGUGUAAAAUCCUUUUCAAACGAACUCCAUUUUGUCCGUUACGGGGUUUGAAAAUAAAAUGUGUUUAAAUCUGGAGAAAAAAAUAUAUAUAUGUAUAUAUAUAUAUAUAUAUAUAUAUUUAUGAAAAUAUGAUUUGUUGGAGGUUUGAUAUGUGCCUAAUGAUGGGGUAUUUAGUAAAUUAAUUAUAUUUAGUUAAAAAAAAAAAAAAAAAAAAAUCAAGAUGAAAUUGUUGCCUUCUUGUUUUCGGGGUUACGAUGGGGUUACGUUUUUUUUCUGCUGCGCGCAUGCGCUGUGUGGCACAGAACAAUCCGUUGGAUCCGUGUGUGGAACUUAACUUCUUGUUAAAUAGCUAGCGGAAUUAUCCCAACAUAACAGAUAUAUUACCGAAUCCCGACAGGAGUGACCCCAUAAAUGUAGCUGUUGCCUGAGCCGAUGAGGAUUUUUCCAGAAUAAUUGGCAAAUGUUGAGAGUGCAUGUCACGUGAAGCUGAGAAGUGUGAUAUAAUCACUGGCAGGCAGACACCAGCUGGCCUUCAAUGCCCUGCGGUUUAUUCAAGAUUUCUACUUGAUGAACCUCUUAUACAUGGACAGAAUUAAUGAAAGCAUCAUGGCAGCCUUGAUUUCCCCUCACCUCUGCGUGGCUUCCUGCUGCCAGGGUCUUACUACAUCUUUCACAGCGCAGGCACGGACGAUGCCAGUCCUUCCCCAGUGAUGUCACCUUCUCAG